UUGAACGCUGGCGGCAUGCCUUACACAUGCAAGUCGAACGGUAGAGGGGCAACCCUUGAGAGUGGCGAACGGGUGAGUAAUGCAUCGGAACGUGCCCAGUCGUGGGGGAUAACGCAGCGAAAGCUGUGCUAAUACCGCAUGUGAUCUGUGGACGAAAGCAGGGGACCGCAAGGCCUUGUGCGAUUGGAGCGGCCGAUGUCAGAUUAGCUAGUUGGUAGGGUAAAAGCCUACCAAGGCGACGAUCUGUAGCUG
rnacentral:rRNA from 1 species